UAGGGAAUCUUCCACAAUGGACGCAAGUCUGAUGGAGCAACGCCGCGUGAGUGAAGAAGGUUUUCGGAUCGUAAAGCUCUGUUGUUGGUGAAGAAGGAUAGAGGCAGUAACUGGUCUUUAUUUGACGGUAAUCAACCAGAAAGCCACGGCUAACUACGUGCCAG
rnacentral:rRNA from 1 species